UACAGAGGGUGCGAGCGUUGUUCGGAAUUAUUGGGCGUAAAGCGCGUGUAGGCGGCUUUGCAAGUCGGGUGUGAAAGCCCUCAGCUUAACUGAGGAAGUGCGCCCGAAACUGCAUUGCUUGAGUACCGGAGAGGAUGGCGGAAUUCCCCAAGUAGAGGUGAAAUUCGUAGAUAUGGGGAGGAACACCGGUGGCGAAGGCGGCCAUCUGGACGGAUAUUGACGCUGAGGUGCGAAAGCGUGGGGAGCAAACAGG
rnacentral:rRNA from 1 species